GUCUGGAAAACAAUGCUGUUGGUUUCUUAGAUUCUUGCAAGGAUCACAGCUGAAAAGACAACACAGAAGGGCAGGAUUCUGGAAGCUCUGAGCUCAGCCGGAUCAGCUGGAGUCACAAGAGGAGGGGACCAAUGCACAUGCAGACAUGGCGUUUUAAAGAUAAAUGGUAAAACUGAACUGGAAAUCCAUCUGGCCGGCUGCCUGCUCUAAUGAAUAACCCCACUUUGGCUCGUGCAAUAGCCGAUGUCAAAAUUUGUGGAACUGUGAAAGAAGUUAAUGCAAGUGAAGCGUUAAGACGUGUUCUCCAUGUAAACUGGCCUUCUGGGGACAUGCUGCUGAUGUCCCUGUGCUCCAUCAGGCACCACGAAUGCGCCGCUCUGGUGGAAGUUAUUGGUAGUGCAGGUGGCUGUACCUGUGUGGGGACCAGAAGCAUAUGGGAAACCUCUACACUUCCUAAUCAGUUCUGCCCUGAACCUAAAACUACUCGAAGCAAAGUUAGAAGACUGGAAACCACCCUUUUGGUGCCUCAUUUGCCAGUAAACACGUGUCUAUUAUUGAACCCAAUUUGGUAA
rnacentral:lncRNA from 1 species